rnacentral:rRNA from 1 species
GUCUUUUUGAUUUUAAUUUAAAGUCUAACCUGCUCAAUGAAAAUUAAAUAGCUGCAGUAUUUUGACUGUACAAAGGUAGCAUAAUCAAUAGUUUCUUAAUUAGAAGCUGGUAUGAAUGGUUGAACGAGAAAAUAACUGUCUCUUUAAAAAUUUAGUUGAAUUUUAUUUUUAAGUUAAAAAGCUUAAAUAUUUUUUAUAGACGAGAAGACCCUAUAGAGUUUUAUUUUAUUUUUAAUUUGUAUUUUUAAGAAUUUAAUUUUUUAAUUUAUUAAUAAAAUUUUAUUGGGGUGAUAAAAAAAUUUAAUUAACUUUUUUAGUUUAAAUUCAUUAAUUUAUGAUUUGCUGAUCCAUUAUUUUUGAUUAUUAGAUUAAAUUACCUUAGGGAUAACAGCGUAAUUUUUUUGGAGAGUUCUAAUCGAUAAAAAAGUUUGCGACCUCGAUGUUGGAUUAAAAUUUAAAUUUGGUGUAGAAGCUAAAUAAUUAGGUCUGUUCGACCUUUGAAAUUUU